rnacentral:rRNA from 1 species
AGAGUUUGAUCCUGGCUCAGAUUGAACGCUGGCGGAAUGCUUUACACAUGCAAGUCGAGCGGCAGCGCGGGGGCAACCCUGGCGGCGAGCGGCGAACGGGUGAGUAACAUAUCGGAACGUACCCAGUAAUGGGGGAUAACUACCCGAAAGGGUAGCUAAUACCGCAUACGCCCUGAGGGGGAAAGCGGGGGAUCGCAAGACCUCGCGUUAUUGGAGCGGCCGAUAUCGGAUUAGCUAGUUGGUGGGGUAAAGGCCCACCAAGGCGACGAUCCGUAGCGGGUCUGAGAGGACGACCCGCCACACUGGAACUGAGACACGGUCCAGACUCCUACGGGAGGCAGCAGUGGGGAAUUUUGGACAAUGGGGGCAACCCUGAUCCAGCCAUUCCGCGUGUGUGAAGAAGGCCUUCGGGUUGUAAAGCUCUUUCGGCAGGAACGAAACGGCGGGCUCUAACAUAGCCUGUCACUGACG